rnacentral:rRNA from 1 species
UACGUAGGGGGCUAGCGUUGUCCGGAAUCAUUGGGCGUAAAGCGUGCGUAGGCGGUUUGUUAAGUCUGUCGUGAAAGCCCCGGGCUCAACCUGGGAAUGGCGAUGGAUACUGGCGAGCUAGAGUACGGUAGAGGAGAGUGGAAUUCCCGGUGUAGCAGUGAAAUGCGUAGAGAUCGGGAGGAACAUCAGUUGCGAAGGCGGCUCUCUGGACCAGUACUGACGCUGAGGCACGAAAGCGUGGGGAGCAAACAGG